UUCCGGUUGAUCCUGCCGGACCUGACUGCUAUCGGGAUAAGACUAAGCCAUGCAAGUCAUACGUUUCAGCUAUGGAGAGACGUGGCAUACGGCUCAGUAACACGUAGUCAAUCUGCCCCAUGGACGGUGACAACGUCGGGAAACUGACGGUAAUCGCCGAUAGGGAAGAGGUUCUGGAAAGCCCUCUUCUUUCAAAAGUAGUAAAUGCCAUGCUUUUUACUAUGCCGUGGGAUGGGACUGCGUCCGAUCAGGCUGAUGGUGGGGUAACGGCCCACCAUACCUAUAACCGGUACGGGCCCUGAGAGGGGGAGCCCGGAGAUGGAUCCUGAGACAAGGAUCCAGGCCCUACGGGGCGCAGCAGGCGCGAAACCUCCGCUAUGUGCGAAAGCAUGACGGGGUUAUCCCGAGUGUCAGCCGAUGAGGUCGACUUUUCCUUGGUCCAAAAGGCCGGGGGAAUAAGGGGAGGGCAAGAUUGGUGUCAGCCGCCGCGGUAAUACCAACUCCCCGAGUGGUCAGGAUGAUUACUGGGCUUAAAGCGUCCAUAGCCUGUUUGAUAAGUUUUCCGUUAAAUCCGACGUCCUAAGCGUCGGGCUGCGGAAAAUACUGUCAGACUUGGGAGUGGAAGAGGUCGGCGGUACUUGCUGGGGAGGGGUAAAAUCCUUAGAUCCAGAGAGGACCAUCAGUGGCGAAGGCGGCCGACUAGGACACGUCCGACGGUGAGGGACGAAAGCUAGGGGAGCGAUCCGGAUUAGAUACCCGGGUAGUCCCAGCCGUAAACGAUGCAGCUAGGUGUGCGGUCGGCUACGAGCCGGGCCGUGUGCCGUAGGGAAACCGUUAAGCCUGCCGCCUGGGAAGUACGGUCGCAAGGCUGAACUUAAAGGAAUUGGCGGGGGAGCAUCACAAGGUGAAGCUUGCGUUAAUGGAAUCACGCC
rnacentral:rRNA from 1 species